rnacentral:rRNA from 1 species
AGUGAACGCUGGCGGUAGGCCUAACACAUGCAAGUCGAACGGCAGCACAGUAAGCGCUCGCUCUUACGGGUGGCGACUGACGGACGAGUGAGGCAUACAUCAGCAUCUACUUUUUCGUGGGUGACAACGUAGGACAACUUACGCUAAUACCGCAUACGAUCUACGGGUGAAAGCAGGAGAGCUUCGGACCUUUCGCGACAGAAUGAGCCGAUGUCGGAUUAGCUAGUUGGCGGGGUAAAGGCACACCAAGGCGACGAUCCGUAGCUGGUCUGAGAGGAUGAUCAGCCACACUGGAACUGAGACACGGUCCAGACUCCUACGGGAGGCAGCAGUAGGGAAUAUUGGGCAAUGGGCGCAAGCCUGAUCCAGCCAUGCCGCGUGAGUGAUGAAGGUCUUCGGAUUGUAAAGCUCUGUUGUUGGGAAAGAACAGCAGCAGGUUAAUACCCCGAUGUUCUGACGGUACCCAAAGAGUAAGCACCGGCUAACUACGUG